rnacentral:rRNA from 1 species
UACGUAGGUGGCAAGCGUUGUCCGGAAUUAUUGGGCGUAAAGCGCGCGCAGGCGGUCCUUUAAGUCUGAUGUGAAAGCCCACGGCUCAACCGUGGAGGGUCAUUGGAAACUGGGGGACUUGAGUGCAGAAGAGGAAAGCGGAAUUCCACGUGUAGAGGUGAAAUUCGUAGAUAUUGGGAAGAACACCGGUGGCGAAGGCGGCUCACUGGCCCGUAACUGACGCUCAGGCGCGAUAGCGUGGGGAUCAAACAGG